rnacentral:lncRNA from 1 species
GUGGUAUAUUCAAAUACCCCAUUUGAGAAAUGUAUGAUAAGUUAUUUCCUAGUUUUGUGUAUGUGCUUUAAAUAACGUUUAUUCAGUUAUUUCGCAUAUAGGUGAGACCUAUCCUAAGGACGAGAGACAUCAAUUGAGGCUCGGGAGCUACGACCCUUCGACAUAUCAGUGUGUGGGCUUUUGGUUUUUCCGUAUAUACCUAUAUACUUGAGAUUUUUCCCAAAAAAUGAAUUUGAAUGAUUAUACGUUUGAAAUGCCAUGCAAAGUAUCUGCCUAUUUUAUUAUGCGUUAGUAGUUGCAUAUAUUUAUGAUUGGUGUUGCGGAUGCACAGGUAAGUGCCAGGUAAGUUCAUAAAUUAAAGAUAUGAGGUUACUUCAGUUAUGUGAGAUAUGAUGUGAUGUAUUGAAAGCUCAUAAACCUGCACCCCGGUGUUAGUACUCCCGUCCAAAGUUAGGGCACAGUCUUUCACGUGAUGUUCACCUCCCGCACCAUAUGCUCACCUUGGAUCCAAGUUAGGUGCACAGGCUUGUCGUACAGACCAUUAUAGGUGGUUCUGACUCAUAGGUGACCCGCGAUCAUUCGCAUAGCCUUCACGCGAUCGUAGCAGUAGAUCAUAUUUAAUUUACACCUAGUCUUGUCGUACAGACUACUUUAGGUGGUUCCAACUUGUGUGUAGAUUUGAUUUGAUAUGAUUGAGAUUGGUUAAGAGCUAUAUACUCAACUAUGUAGAUUGAGUGAGAGGGAUUUGGCUUAUGCGAUAUUUGACAUUGAUAUAUUUUGCCUGGAUUACUUAUAGCAUUGUGUUG